UACGAAGGGGGCUAGCGUUGCUCGGAAUCACUGGGCGUAAAGCGCACGUAGGCGGAUUGUUAAGUCAGGGGUGAAAUCCUGGAGCUCAACUCCAGAACUGCCUUUGAUACUGGCGAUCUUGAGUCCGGGAGAGGUGAGUGGAACUGCGAGUGUAGAGGUGAAAAUUCGUAGAUAUCUGGAGGAACACCGGUGGCGAAGGCGGCAUCCUGGACUGGCAUUGACGCUGAGGAGCGAAAAGCCAGGGGAGCAAAACGGG
rnacentral:rRNA from 1 species